GGGUUUCCGUUGUCAAAUAGGAAGUGAAGCCACGGGCCGCCAUCCUUAAGCAAUUCCCGCUAUCUUAGACUCCUGGUAUAGAUGGGAAGGGAUGUCCAUGGCUUAACUCCUGAGCUCCCUAGGUGGGGUCUGAACCUGGGCCCAAAGCAGUAGGGGAGGGGGGUGUAAUGCAGCACUGGGAAUGGUUUCUCAAAACCCUCACAUAGGUCGUCCGCUGACUUUGGUCGGGCUUACUGUCAGGAGUUGAGAUUCCCGGCUUGUGGUUGGAUAAAUGAGUUCCAGUGUAAAAUGGUGGUUUCCGUGAAAAGGGCGUGUGAGAACGAAAUUAAUAGGGAAGCAUGCUCAUGGCAUCUUCUUUAAAGUCAGGAACCACAGACGGGAUGGUUUAUAAAGAAUAGAGGUUCCAGAGGCAGGAAAUUCAAGAACUGGGUGCCAGCCUUCCUGCUGCAUCUUGAUGAGAUAGAGAGAGUCACAUGGCCAGACAGGCAAGCGUGCCUGCUCAGAUCUCACUUCUUCCUGUAAAGCCACUGGUGGUGUUUAUGGAAAGUCCAUGCUGGAAUAGAAAGCUAACAAGGACUGGGCUCUGCCCUCAUUGCCUCAUUUGAAGAACCUCCUCCUACAAGCCUCAUUUCAAUUAGCAACUCCAAUUU
ensembl:processed_transcript RIKEN cDNA 1700001G11 gene